AAAUUGAAGAGUUUGAUCAUGGCUCAGAUUGAACGCUGGCGGCAGGCCUAACACAUGCAAGUCGAACGGUAACAGGAAACAGCUUGCUGUUUCGCUGACGAGUGGCGGACGGGUGAGUAAUGUCUGGGAAACUGCCCGAUGGAGGGGGAUAACUACUGGAAACGGUAGCUAAUACCGCAUAACGUCGCAAGACCAAAGAGGGGGACCUUCGGGCCUCUUGCUAUCGGAUGUGCCCAGAUGGGAUUAGCUAGUAG
rnacentral:rRNA from 2 species